GGGGCGGUAGCUCAGUCGGUUAGAGCAGGGGACUCAUAAUCCCUUGGCCGUGGGUUCGAGCCCCACCCGCCCCACAA
rnacentral:tRNA from 1 species